rnacentral:rRNA from 1 species
UGGGGAAUAUUGGGCAAUGGGCGCAAGCCUGACCCAGCAACGCCGCGUGAAGGAAGAAGGCUUUCGGGUUGUAAACUUCUUUUCUCAGGGACGAAGAAAGUGACGGUACCUGAGGAAUAAGCCACGGCUAACUACGUGCCAGCAGCCGCGGUAAUACGUAGGUGGCAAGCGUUAUCCGGAUUUACUGGGUGUAAAGGGCGUGUAGGCGGGAAAGCAAGUCAGAUGCGAAAACCAUGGGCUCAACCUGUGGCCUGCAUUUGAAACUGUUUUUCUUGAGUACUGGAGAGGCAGACGGAAUUCCUAGUGUAGCGGUGAAAUGCGUAGAUAUUAGGAGGAACACCAGUGGCGAAGGCGGUCUGCUGGACAGCAACUGACGCUGAGGCGCGAAAGCGUGGGGAGCAAACAGGAUUAGAUACCC